rnacentral:ncRNA from 1 species
UAGGUUGACAGCAAGUUAAUCGACGCGCAAGCAGCCCACGAAACCACCCUUUCCGCCACAUUGACGGCAUUGGCAGGAGCCAAUAUCAUCUACGGUUU